UACCAGCACCCCGAGUGGUCGGGACGAUUAUUGGGCCUAAAGCAUCCGUAGCCGGUUCUGCAAGUCCCCCGUUAAAUCCAGCUGCUCAACCAGGAUGGGCCGCGGAGGAUACUACAGAGCUAGGAGGCAGGAGAGGCAAGCGGUACUCGAGUGGGAUAGGGGUAAAAUCCGUUGAGUCCAUUGAAGACCACCAGUGGCGAAAGGCGGCUUGCCGAAGUGCG
rnacentral:rRNA from 1 species